GCACUGCUGAGGAGUCCCAUAAUAGGACGUAACUACCGUCCAGUGC
rnacentral:hammerhead_ribozyme from 1 species